UGCGAACACAUUCAUCGAACAUUCGAACCUCCCAGGCCCCAGCCCUCAAAACCCCCAACUUUCCGGUCGCUUCUCCCCCGAUCUCUUUGCCCGGAACGAAGCAAACAAGAAAAAGAGGAGAGAAAGAAUGGCUCUGUUGGACCCGCACUCGUUCGCCGACGCGAGCCAUCCAUUCGCGACCCACGUCUCCCUCACCUUCUACCUGGACUUCGCGACCUCCACCAUCCUGGGCUCCGCCCUCCUCACCCUUCCCUCCCCCCACAUGGGGCCCCUCACCCUCGACACCCGCUCCCUCUCCAACCUCUCCGCCCUCGACCCACUCUCCCUCUCCCCCCUCCCCUUCUCCCUCUCUCCCUCCAACCCCGACCCCGUCCUCGGCCAAUCCCUCACCGUAUCCCUCUCCUCCCAUUCCUCCCUCCUCCUCACCUUCUCCACCACCCCCGCCUCCUCCGCCCUCCAAUGGCUCUCCCCCGCCCAGACCUCCUCCCGCUCCUACCCCUUCGUCUACACCCAGUGCCUGUCCAUCCACGCCCGCUCGAUCUUCCCCUGCCAGGACACUCCCGCCGCCCGGAUCCGCUACUCCGCCAAACUCAACCUCCCGCGCCCCCUCUCCGCCGUCAUGGCCGCCACCCACCUCGCCCGCCGCGACCCCGCCCCUGGCGAGGCCGGCCCCGCUUGCCCCGACGCCUUCUGGUGCUCCCAAGACCGCGUUGUCGAGGAGUUCUCCAUGAACCAGCCUAUCCCCCCCUACCUCUUCGCCUUCGCCGCCGGGGAUAUCGGCUUCCGCGACGUCGGCCCCAGGACCAGGGUCUAUGUGGAGGGCGGCAUCGCCGUGUUGGACGCGGCGGCCAGGGAGUUCGCCGGCACGGAGGAGAUGAUCCGGGUCGGGGAGGCGCUGUUCGGGCCCUACGAGUGGGAAAGGUUCGACCUUUUGGUGCUCCCUCCAAGCUUCCCCUACGGCGGGGUGGAGAACCCCAGGAUGGUGUUCCUCACGCCCACCGUCAUCAGGGGGGACGCCUCCGGAGCCCAGUUAGUGGCACACGAGCUCGCCCACAGCUGGACGGGGAAUCUCAUCACCAACAAGACCAACGAAGAUUCCUGGCUCAAUGAGGGAUUCACGACAUAUGCCGAGAGGAGAAUUGUGGAGAUGGUUCAGGGAGAGGAGCGGGCGGCUCUAAACACCGGAAUCGGGUGGUGGGCUUUGAAUGAGGAGAUGGAAAGAUUCAAAGACAACAUGGAGUUCACAAAGCUGAAGCCGAAACUGGCAGGAAUGGACCCGGAUGAGGUCUACUCUCAAGUGCCAUAUGAGAAAGGGUUCCAGUUUCUCUGGCGCAUAGAACGCCAGAUUGGUCGUCCGGCAUUCGAUGAGUUUCUGAAGAAAUACAUAUCCACUUUUAAGUUCCAAUCAAUAGAUACGGAGACAUUUCUUGAAUUUCUUAAGGCAAAUGUACCUGGAAUAGAAAAUCAAAUUGAUCUUAAGCUCUGGGUGGAGGGUACUGGGAUCCCUUCAGAUGCCAUGGAGCCAGUGUCAACCAUUUAUACAAAGAUUGUGUCUCUGGCAAAGGAUUUUAAUGCUGGAAGGAUGCCGAGAGAGGAUGAGGUGGCAGACUGGCUUGGGCAGGAAUGGCAACUUUACUUGGAGAAUCUGCCCAAAGCUGUUGAAGCUUCUCAGAUUCCUGUGGUUUGCAAAUGAGCAUCGUGAGAGCUGUAUCCUUGGAGUGACUUGCCGAAGUAAUGUUUUCAACCUUGGAAGAGAGUGAUUCCGCCCUUGCUCCUCUUCCAACUACUAUCUUCCUGAUGUCGAAUGUGCCAUAAUGUACCUCUACUUUUGUGAGCCGCUUUAGUUCUCCAGGUUUUUCUUCUCUUUUUGAGGUCAGCAAUGGUGGUUCCAAUCCAAUCCUGCUGGAGAAUGAUAAUCAAGAUAAUGUAGAAAGGUCAGUUUUCUCUAUGGAUCUACCUUCAGAUGAGAUUCAAAUAGGAUUGGUUGAUGGAAUACAAUCUACAGAUCCAAACACUAGGGAAGAACCCAGAUUUUCAGUUCAACUGAAUGAAUUGGCUACAGAGAAUCUCAGCUCAGACCUGGGAUUGAGCUGGUGGAUUCGGCAAAGUACUCAUUUGGCUGCCAUGGAAAAUAAGAGCUUGAAUAUAUUCAACUCUAGACUUGUCUUGGCAUCACCUGAAACAGCUACAGAUGCAAACCAUGCUGCAAUCUAGGGAGCAAUUGGUUAUGAGUAUUUCCACAACCGGACUGGCAAGAGAGUGACACGUUAUGACUUGUUCCAGCUUAGUCUCAAGGAAGGUCUCACUGUCUUCAGAGAUCGGGAGUUUUCAUCUGACAUGGACAGCUGCAUGGUUAAGCACAGCUGAUGUUUCAAGGCUUCAAAAUUACCAGUUUCAACAGGAUGCUGGUCCCAUGGCUCAUCCUGUAUGGCUGCAUGCAUAUAUUACGAUGGACAACUUCUAUACCUUGACAGUGUAUGAGAAGGGAGCUGAAGUUGUUAGAAUGUGCAAAACGUUGCUUGGAAGUUCAGGUUUUCAGAAGGGCAUAGUCCUAUAUUUCAAAAGACACGAUAGACAAGCUGUGACCUAUGAAGAUUUCUUUGCCUUGUUGUGUGAUGCAAAUGAUGCUGAUCUCUGCAACUUUUUGUUAUGAUAUUCUCAAGCUGGGUCACCCUAUGUUAAGGUUACUCAUCUUUCGAUCUUGAUGCUGAGACGUAUACUUUGAGAUUCAAUCAAGAAGUGCCACCACCUCCUGGUCAACCAGUGAAAGAACCAAUGUCUACACCUGUUGCUAUUGGACUUCUUGACUCAAGUGGAAAAGACGUGCCCUCACUAUUUAUAAUGAUGGGAUGUUGCAGACUAUCACAAGCAAUACCCAACCAGUCUUCACAACAGUACUUCUAUUUAGGAAGAAGGAAGAAGAGUUGUGUUUUCUGAUAUACCUGAGCAGCCAAUCCCUUCUUUAUUGCAGAGUUACGGUGCAGCUUUUCAUCUUGAUUCUGAUCUUACAAACAGUGAUCUGUUUUUCCUACUCGCAUAUGAUUCCAAUAAAUUUGAUCGUGGGAGCCUGGUCAAGUAUUUCCAAGAAAACUGAUGCUCAGUCUUGUAGCAGAUUUCCAGCAAAAGAAAAACAUUGAUUCUGAACCCAAAGAUUACAGAUGGGAUUAGAAGCAUCCUUAGUAAUUCAACCUUGGAUAAAGAAUCUCUUGCAAAGGCAAUUACUUUGCUUGGUGAAGGGGAGAUCAUGGAUAUGGUGGCUGUUGCAGAUCUAGAUGCUAUUCAUGUUGUCUGCUCCUUCAUUAAGAAACAGCUCACUCUCCAGCUAAAGAAAGAGUUCUUAGCCACUGUUGUUGUCAACAGAAGUUCAGGUAGCUGCUCUAGAUGCACGUUAUCGGCUAGCAG